rnacentral:rRNA from 1 species
CUACCAAGGCGACGAUCCAUAGCUGGUCUGAGAGGAUGAUCAGCCACAUUGGGACUGAGACACGGCCCAAACUCCUACGGGAGGCAGCAGUGGGGAAUAUUGGACAAUGGGCGCAAGCCUGAUCCAGCCAUGCCGCGUGAGUGAUGAAGGUCUUAGGAUUGUAAAGCUCUUUCACCGGGGACGAUAAUGACGGUACCCGGAGAAGAAGCCCCGGCUAACUUCGUGCCAGCAGCCGCGGUAAUACGAAGGGGGCUAGCGUUGUUCGGAAUUACUGGGCGUAAAGCGCACGUAGGCGGAUAUUUAAGUCAGGGGUGAAAUCCCGGGGCUCAACCCCGGAACUGCCUUUGAUACUGGGUAUCUUGAGUGUGGUAGAGGUGAGUGGAAUUGCGAGUGUAGAGGUGAAAUUCGUAGAUAUUCGCAGGAACACCAGUGGCGAAGGCGGCUCACUGGACCGGUUCUGACGCUGAGGCGCGAAAGCGUGGGGAGCAAACAGGAUUAGAUACCCUGGUAGUCCACGCC